GUGGGGAAUAUUGGACAAUGGGCGAAAGCCUGAUCCAGCCAUGCCGCGUGUGUGAAGAAGGUCUUCGGAUUGUAAAGCACUUUAAGUUGGGAGGAAGGGCAGUAAGUUAAUACCUUGCUGUUUUGACGUUACCGACAGAAUAAGCACCGGCUAACUUCGUGCCAGCAGCCGCGGUAAUACGAAGGGUGCAAGCGUUAAUCGGAAUUACUGGGCAUAAAGCGCGCGUAGGUGGUUUUGUAAGUUGGAGGUGAAAUCCCCGGGCUCAACCUGGGAACUGCCUCCAAAACUGCAUGACUAGAGUACGGUAGAGGGUAGUGGAAUUUCCUGUGUAGCGGUGAAAUGCGUAGAUAUAGGAAGGAACACCAGUGGCGAAGGCGACUACCUGGACUGAUACUGACACUGAGGUGCGAAAGCGUGGGGAGCAAACAGGAUUAGAAACCCCUGUAGUCC
rnacentral:rRNA from 1 species